rnacentral:misc_RNA from 1 species
UACGGAGGGUGCAAGCGUUGUUCGGAUUUACUGGGCGUAAAGCGAGCGUAGGCGGGAUCGUAAGUCGGAUGUGAAAGCCCUCGGCUCAACCGAGGAAUUGCAUCCGAAACUACGGUUCUUGAGUACUGGAGAGGGAAGCGGAAUUCCCGGUGUAGAGGUGAAAUUCGUAGAUAUCGGGAGGAACACCAGUGGCGAAGGCGGCUUCCUGGACAGAUACUGACGCUGAGGCUCGAAAGCGUGGGGAGCAAACAGG